rnacentral:rRNA from 2 species
GAGUUUGAUCCUGGCUCAGAGCGAACGCUGGCGGCAGGCUUAACACAUGCAAGUCGAGCGCCGUAGCAAUACGGAGCGGCAGACGGGUGAGUAACACGUGGGAACGUACCUUUUGGUUCGGAACAACUGAGGGAAACUUCAGCUAAUACCGGAUAAGCCCUUACGGGGAAAGAUUUAUCGCCGAAAGAUCGGCCCGCGUCUGAUUAGCUAGUUGGUGAGGUAAUGGCUCACCAAGGCGACGAUCAGUAGCUGGUCUGAGAGGAUGAUCAGCCACACUGGGACUGAGACACGGCCCAGACUCCUACGGGAGGCAGCAGUGGGGAAUAUUGGACAAUGGGCGCAAGCCUGAUCCAGCCAUGCCGCGUGAGUGAUGAAGGCCCUAGGGUUGUAAAGCUCUUUUGUGCGGGAAGAUAAUGACUGUACCGCAAGAAUAAGCCCCGGCUAACUUCGUGCCAGCAGCCGCCGUAAC